CUCGACCAAAAGUGGGCUGAGCCUUGUUGCUGCGUGGCGAAACAGCUGUUCUCCCUGGGCUGUGGGGAAGCUGGGCCACAGGCACUUGCAGCACCUGUUUUGGAUUAAAAAAAUCCUCAAAACAAACGCGCAGGAAGAACAGCCUGCUGGGAAGUGGUGCAGCUCCCUGUACCCAUGUGCUUAAAUUGACUCACCCAGUGGACUCCCAUCAUUGUCCUGUUCCCGUUUCAUCGUGCUUGACUUUAGUUUCCGAUGUGCCAGUGAAGCCCUGUGUGGAGGAGGAGAGUGAUACAGAGUAAAGAAGAAGAGGAAGAUGAGAUUUCUCUCUCCCGUGAAGCACAGAUGGAUGCAGAAGUAUUUCUGAACAAGCAAGUCUCUCAGCACUGCCUCCUGGAUGCCAUGCUAUCGCAGAGUAACAUCGCUGUCCUCUCCUUCCCCUGACAAACAGGAAUUAAAGAUACUACUAAUAAAACCCUUUUGCUUUCUUGAGGAGGAAAAAAG
rnacentral:lncRNA from 1 species